rnacentral:rRNA from 1 species
GUCCAGACUCCUACGGGAGGCAGCAGUGAGGAAUAUUGGUCAAUGGCCGAGAGGCUGAACCAGCCAAGUCGCGUGAGGGAAGACGGCCCUACGGGUUGUAAACCUCUUUUGUCGGGGAGCAAAGCGAGUCACGUGUGACUCAUUGAGAGUACCCGAAGAAAAAGCAUCGGCUAACUCCGUGCCAGCAGCCGCGGUAAUACGGAGGAUGCGAGCGUUAUCCGGAUUUAUUGGGUUUAAAGGGUGCGCAGGCGGAGGUGCAAGUCAGCGGUCAAAUUGCGGGGCUCAACCCCGGCCGGCCGUUGAAACUGGGUGCCUUGAGUGGGCGAGAAGUACGCGGAAUGCGUGGUGUAGCGGUGAAAUGCAUAGAUAUCACGCAGAACUCCGAUUGCGAAGGCAGCGUACCGGCGCCCAACUGACGCUGAAGCACGAAGGCGUGGGUAUCGAAUAGGAUUAGAUACCCGUGUAAG